UAUAGCUUCUUCGAACGUGCCCGCAAAAAAUUCCGGAUGCGCUGGUCCAUAUCUUUUUUGAAACUGUUCUGCAAAAUGCAGUGUGCCUAUGGUUUCAUCUUCCACAUUAUCUGGCACUAAAAGAAUCGAGAAUUUUAUUAGAUUGAACAUUCUCUAUGAAGAUAUCAUCCUCUACGUCAAAGGACUCUGAGGCGUCUUCAAACUCUUCUGGGGAACUGUCGCUGUCUAUUAAAUCUACGUAAACCUUAGAAAGUGAAUACAAAGCAAAUUAUUGGAACGACCAACUGGUAGAAAAAACAGACACGACUUCUAUGAUGGUAACCAGCAUCACCUUCUUGUUUUCCUUGUUAGGCAACUUUCCAACAGUCAAGUCAUGUUCUGGGUAAGUGAUACCGCUUUGUGCCAACAUUGUUUCAUCAUUCUUCAACUUUGAUGGCCAUCCAGUCCAAUGCUGAUUUCGUACAGGUAUAUCUAUUAGCGUAAAAACGUCGGUUUUCACUUCUAAAACUGUACGGGUUCCUGGGAAUU